CAGCAGCCGCGGUAAUACGUAGGGGGCAAGCGUUGUCCGGAAUUAUUGGGCGUAAAGGGCUCGCAGGCGGCUUCUUAAGUCUGAUGUGAAAUAUUGCGGCUCAACCGCAAGAGGUCAUUGGAAACUGGGAGGCUUGAGUAUAGGAGAGGAAAGUGGAAUUCCACGUGUAGCGGUGAAAUGCGUAGAGAUGUGGAGGAACACCAGUGGCGAAGGCGACUUUCUGGCCUAUAACUGACGCUGAGGAGCGAAAGCGUGGGUAGCAAACAGGAUUAGAUACCCUGGUAGUCCACGCCGUAAACGAUGAGUGCUAGGUGUUAGGGGUUUCGAUACCCUUAGUGCCGCAGUUAACACAUUAAGCACUCCGCCUGGGGAGUACGGCCGCAAGGCUGAAACUCAAAGGAAUUGACGGGGGCCCGCACAAGCAGUGGAGCAUGUGGUUUAAUUCGAAGCAACGCGAAGAACCUUACCAGGUCUUGACAUCCUCUGACAACUCUAGAGAUAGAGCCUUCCCCUUCGGGGGACAGAGUGACAGGAGGUGCAUGGCC
rnacentral:rRNA from 1 species